rnacentral:rRNA from 1 species
CGCGUAGGCGGGCUGUUAAGUCGGGGGUGAAAUCCCGGGGCUCAACCCCGGAACUGCCUCCGAUACUGGCAGCCUAGAGGACGGAAGAGGCGAGUGGAAUGCCGAGUGUAGAGGUGAAAUUCGUAGAUAUUCGGCGGAACACCGGUGGCGAAGGCGGCUCGCUGGUCCGUUUCUGACGCUGAGGUGCGAAAGCGUGGGGAGCAAACA